AAAAAAGCCGGUUUGUAAACGAUUAACCGUAUAGAGCCGAACACAAUAUCCCGUGACAUCGCGAAUCGAACCACGACGAAAGUUUCUGCGACCGUUAGCUGCGCCGGUAAGCUACCAGUACGUCGAAUCCGUUACUUUUGGUUUAUUAUUCAUGAUUAUGUCGCCGUGGGUACCGUGCGCGCGGGACACCCGAUGUCGAACGUCAGCU